UAUUAUAUAUUAAGACAAAUCUGAAACGCCCAUGUUACACACACACACACACACACACACACACAUACACACACACACACACAUACACACACACACACACACAUACACACACAUAGCAAUAUUAAUGCCAAAAGGUAAUCUUUACAUCUAACUUAACGUGGAUGUUUUGCUAGAAAACCAAAUACUGCGUUAUUAGCUUUCAGAGAUCCUGUCAUAUGGGUGCUUGGUGCAUAAAAGCACACACAUAGAUCGUAGCAGACGAGAAACCUCUGUCAUAGGCGCCGGAACUCCCAUAUUACGACUGUCUUCAAAUUUAAUCUAUCGUUUCAAUACUAACAAUUUUUUAUUGUUUUAUUAGACUUUAUUUUUAAUUGGGAACGAUAGUGUUCCUUACGCUAUCAGCGUUUCUAGAUCUUUUCAGUAUUAUCCUGCAGUCGGAGUGUUUGUGGAGUUUAUUAUAUAUUUAUUGAUGUGUUUUGUAGAUGGCAACAAAAAUGAUUGGAAUCAUGUCGUAAUGGAUAAAAAUCGUCACCACCAGCACUAAAACAUUUAUCAUAUCUAUGUCAGUCCUGGGAAGAAGUAUGUACUCACAACUUCAAUAACCAAGAAAAAUCAAUGCUGCUUCACUCGCAAAGUCUUCGUUGAUGUCCAGUAAGUAAAAGAAGGAAAGAAAGAAAGAAAGAAAGAAAGAAAGAAAGAAAGACAAUAAUCUCUGCCAGUAACAUCCAGGAUGCCAAUAAACAAAAUUACUUAAUAAAAUCCUAUUCAGAUGACAUUAGAAUGAUAUUUGAGUAGGACAAAUAUUACGAUAAAUCAUGGAGAAACUUCAUGCCAAACAGGAAACCAUUAGUAUCUAUGUCUUUUUUUUUUAUAUCGUUUUUUUUUUUUAUUAUUCUAUGAAAACUAUAAAUACCUUAAGAUAGAUGAAGAUAUGUCUUACGAUGAUAAUGUGUUGGAAGCUGAAGUGAUCAAGGAAUUCUACACCAGACUCAGAAUCAUAUGGCAAAUGGAACACUUCUAGUAGUAGUAGUAGUAGUAGUAGUAGUAGUAGUAGUAGUAGUAGUAGUAGUUGGAAGAAGAGGAGGAGAAGGAGGAGGAGGAGGAGGAGGAGGAAAGGGAAGAGGUAUUUGUAGUUAAAGAAGAAGAAAAAGAAAAUGAUGAUGAUGAUAACGACGACGACGAUGACGGUGGUAGUGGUGGUGGUGGUGGUGUGGUGGUGGUGGUGGUGUGGUGGUGGUGGUGAUAGUUGCAAGAAGAAGAAGAAGAAGAAGAAGAAGAAGAAGAAAAAAUCGAUACGUUACAAUGCAUUUUUAGUAGCAAUAUUGGUAUUAGACUGGUCACUGGAGAAAAUCAGUUCCAGUGACAUGAAAACAAUCAAUAAAAUAAAACAACUUUUGUUAGCCUAACAGCUAUCCCAUCAACAACUCAAGUAAUAUUCCUCCUCCCACAUGAUACGAAACGCAAGGACGAAAGUCCUACAAGAAAUAAUAAAGAAAAGGAAUUGUUUGAAUGAAUAGACUGCAAUGAUUUUCAAUGUAAACCGAUAUUAAACAUUAGUUAUUACAAUAACUAUUUUGAGACAGAGAAGAAAAUCGGAUCUCACGAUUAUCGCCGACCGGGAGAUAAAAAUAGAAAAAGAAGAAAAAUAACUGUUUAUAGAAGUGAAUCUGAGAAGAUAAAAUAAAAGGCGCUGUUUUGUUUAA